rnacentral:lncRNA from 1 species
AGGUUGGAGUGGUAAAUUUAGAUAUUUAAUUUCAGUUACAUUUAUGUUUAAAAGUAGGUUUUGAAGCAGUUACCUAGGUCUUUGAACCUCUUAACUGCUGUUUCCUAUUACAACUAAGACUGGGAUUACAGUAUUUAUUCACUUGGUUGCAAUUUAAUAAAUUGUAGCAAAUUUACUGGUUUCAUACAUUGGUCAUCUUGGGUCUUUGCAGAUGUUGUGUUCUGUACUGGAGACAAAUCUUUAAUUUGAAUAUAAACAUUAAGAUUACUAUUGGCAGUAAGGAAUAUGUUCUGAUUAAAAUGUGUCUUCUGCUAAAGUUUAAGCUGAACUGUUUAAAGUCUAAAUGUAAAGUUUAUACAUAUAGUUCUAACUUUAAAAGUAAACUUUAUAUUUUUCAUACCAAAUACAGGUAGUUUUUUUACGGAGCACAAGUAAAAAACUAUAUAAUGUCCCUAUCUGAUUAUUGUGCUUAUUUGAGUGGUGCAAACAUCAAAGAUUGGAAAAUAUAUUAAUACAUGAUUUUAAAAGUAUUCUUACUACUGAUACUGUUAAUGCACUGUCCCUUAUCUUUUGAGUUUUGUGAUUUCUUCCCUGUGUAAAAGAGUGAGAACCCUGUCCUUUAAAAAGUUAUCAAUAAAUGCAGUAAAAUUUCAUUCGAAUUACUCUAGAUCUAAAAGAUAAAGAUAAAAUUCUAAAUAUUCACUACUCUUUUGUAUUUAAAAGGAAGGAGCUCUAAAAGAUGUUUGUUUUAGCAAUUAGUAGUAAGAGUACCCACAGGUCAGGUCACACCACAUUGCUGUAUCACUUUGCGUGUUACUAAUUAGAAGUCCUGAUUCUAAUCUCUGAUUUCUAAUCUCUUCAGCCCCUGGAUGAAGCUCUGAAGAAAGCCCUUACAGGUCACCUGGAGGAUGUUGCUUUGGCUCUAUUAAAAACUCCAGCCCGGUUUGAUGCUGAUGAACUCCGUGCUGCCAUGAAGGGCCUUGGAACUGAUGAAGACACUCUGAUUGAAAUUUUGACAUCAAGAACUAACAAAGAAAUUAGGGAAAUUAACAGAGUCUAUAGAGAAGAUGCGCUGCUGUCACACAUGUCCACCACCACAUGUGACAUUAGUGACGUUAUCCUGACGUCACAGGAUCCAAGAAUGAUGAUCUGUGAAGAGUUUUCCAAGGUCACCUACUUCUAA